rnacentral:rRNA from 1 species
AACGAACGCCUGCGGCGCGCCUAAUACAUGCAAGUCGAACGAACCAGCGAUGGUGAGUGGCGCACGGGUGAGUAACGCGUGGAUAAUCUGCCCUCUACUGGGGAAUAACUAACCGAAAGGUUAGCUAAUACCGCAUGAGACCACGAUCCCUGAGGGGAACGAGGUUAAAGAUUUAUUGGUAGAGGAUGAGUCUGCGUGGGAUUAGCUAGUUGGUGGGGUAACGGCCUACCAAGGCGACGAUCUCUAACAGGUCUGAGAGGAUGACCUGUCACACUGGAACUGAGACACGGUCCAGACUCCUACGGGAGGCAGCAGUGGGGAAUAUUGCGCAAUGGGGGAAACCCUGACGCAGCGACGCCGCGUGAGUGAUGAAGGCCUUAGGGUCGUAAAGCUCUGUUGUAGGGGAAGAACACAAUGACGGUACCCUAUAAGAAAGAUCGGCUAACUUCGUGCCAGCAGCCGCCGUAAU